UACGAAGGGUGCAAGCGUUGUCCGGAAUUAUUGGGCGUAAAGAGCUCGUAGGCGGUCUGUCGCGUCUGCUGUGAAAACUCAGGGCUUAACCCUGAGCUUGCAGUGGGUACGGGCAGACUAGAGUGCGGUAGGGGAGACUGGAAUUCCUGGUGUAGCGGUGAAAUGCGCAGAUAUCAGGAGGAACACCGGUGGCGAAGGCGGGUCUCUGGGCCGUAACUGACGCUGAGGAGCGAAAGCAUGGGGAGCGAAUGGG
rnacentral:rRNA from 1 species